UACGGGGGGAGCAAGCGUUGUUCGGAUUUACUGGGCGUAAAGGGCGCGUAGGCGGCCACCGCAAGUCGACUGUGAAAUCUCCGGGCUUAACCCGGAAAGGUCAGCCGAUACUGCGGGGCUAGAGUGCAGAAGGGGCAACUGGAAUUCUCGGUGUAGCGGUGAAAUGCGUAGAUAUCGAGAGGAACACCAGCGGCGAAGGCGGCGCUCUGGGCCGGUACUGACACUGAGGAGCGAAAGCGUGGGUAGCAAACAGG
rnacentral:rRNA from 1 species